UUUUUAUAAAUGCCUAAUCAAGGCACAGGACCGGGGGAACCACAGUUUUGGGGUGAAACUUGUAGGGCGGCUUUACCAUUUGCCUGAAAGUAGGGGGAUCUCAACCCUAACCCGUCAGCUAACCUCGGAGGCUAGUGAGAGGGGUAUG
rnacentral:sRNA from 2 species